rnacentral:rRNA from 1 species
UACAGAGGGUGCUAGCGUUGUUCGGAUUCAUUGGGCGUAAAGGGUGCGUAGGUGGCGGGGUAAGUCAGGUGUGAAAUCUCGAGGCUCAACCUCGAAACUGCACUUGAUACUGCCUUGCUCGAGUACUGGAGAGGAGAUUGGAAUUUACGGUGUAGCAGUGAAAUGCGUAGAUAUCGUAAGGAAGACCAGUGGCGAAGGCGAAUCUCUGGACAGUUACUGACACUGAGGCACGAAGGCCAGGGGAGCAAACGGG